rnacentral:rRNA from 1 species
UCCGGUGGUUAUGGCGGAGGUGUCACACCCGUUCCCAUCCCGAACACGGCCGUUAAGCCCUCCAGCGCCGAUGGUACUACGUGGUCGCCACGUGGGAGAGUAGGACGCCGCCGGAU